rnacentral:rRNA from 1 species
CACGUAGGGCGCAAGCGUUGUCCGGAAUUAUUGGGCGUAAAGAGCUCGUAGGUGGUUUGUCGCGUUGUCCGUGAAAACUCACAACUCAAUUGUGGGCGUGCGGGCGAUACGGGCAGACUGGAGUACUGCAGGGGAGACUGGAAUUCCUGGUGUAGCGGUGAAAUGCGUAGAUAUCGUGAGGAAGACCAGUGGCGAAGGCGGAUCUCUGGACAGUUCCUGACGCUGAGGCGCGAAGGCCAGGGGAGCAAACGGG